UUUAUUUCUGUGAAGCUGGGAUUCAUGCAGUUGAUCGGACUUCCUAUUACUGUCUGCAUUAAACAGUAGGCAGCCAACGGAAGCUAAAACGAAACCCGAGGCAAAGCCUCCAAUGGGACAUGGAAGAGUGAGAAUCAGAGAGAAAGGAAAGGCGAGCAGGAGAGGGUCAGAGAGACAGAAAGGAGGGCAGCGCUGGGAGAAGACAUGAAAAAUUAGAACAGGAGCUCAGAGCACUCGGGACAGCAGGGAAAUGACAGUUGAAAUUAGAACAGGAGCUCAGAGGAGCGAGCAGAAGGGGACGGCAGGAACCCAGAAAUGUAAGGAGGGGAGGAACAAUGGAGAGAAGUGGACAGACAAAAGGAAGCUCAGCUUCACUAAGAGGGCCCAGGACUCACGUGUGUCCAGUAGACUUGCCCUGUACGGAUCAGAACAAAUUAGUUGUCAUUCUGAAAUGACUCUGAAAGGGGGAAUGGAAUGCACCCAACAAUCAAUAUUAAAUUUUAUGCCUGCUGCACCUUUCAAAAGCCUCAAGAAGACAUUGAUUCAAUGCUGUUGAUAGAAAAUGAAAUUCAGAGCAAUCACCUGAAGCACAGCAAGCUAAAGAGUCACCUAGAUCUGCAAUGAACUUUGCUGUUGACAUGAUUGCAGAAAAGUCUAAAUUUUUUGACAUAACCAAAGAAAAUACCACCAAGAGUGAUCUUGAAGCAGAUCUGUUAUGUCUCUGGAAGCGAAUCCCAUGCAUGAGAAACUCUCCAUGUAUUUGUCAGAAUCUGCAGUACAUUGUCUUUCCAAUAUUUGUAGCUUCUCUUGGCAUUAAAAAAAUUAUUGUAGUUCCCAGGCUGUUUUCCCCAUUGCUACUUGCUGUUUUUUAAUGGGAUGUCAGAAUUUUGUCCUGCAGCAUUAUACUGCUACACAGGUGAGAGGUCAUUCUCAAUUUAUGACCAACUGUUUGUUACUACAUUGAUAGUUUUGAUCUUAGAAUACAUUUUCAUAUAAAAACCAUAACCCACUGUUGUUCAGUUCCAAGACCUAUCACAUAUAUGUUCUUGGAGUCUAUCAUUGUUCUAAUGGGGAAGGAUCCGCUGAAGCUUAGCCAGUACAUGUAAUGUCUAAUGGGUAUUCAGAGAACUGGCUUGGGCAUCCAGAAACCAGGGACUUCUCUCCCAACUUUUCCUCCCCCAUUUUUCUCCUGUUUCUAAUAAGCACUUGGCAGAGUGGCUUCCUAGGUUCCAGAAGGAAUUUCACUUAACAGUGAAGGGCAGGAGGCUGGGGAGGGAACAGUGAUAAGAAAGGAGCAUAAUGGGAGGGUGUCAUUAGAGAUGAGCCGUCUAGGCCAAUGGCAGGGCUCUGAGGGUCAGGGUGGAGGUCUGGGAGCCAGGUCUCAAGGAUUUGUCUUGAUCUGGGAUCAAAAGCUGCUGACUUGGCCCCUCCCCAGCCAGGUGACUUGAAGCCUUGCUUUCUGAGACCCCCCAUGCAGCCAUCCCGGGACCUCUCUCUUACUUUCCCAGCCUGAACCUAGCACACAGCCUUCUUUUGAUUUUCUUAGCAUUAUCACUACUCAUAGAACAGGAGU